ensembl:lncRNA LINC01836 long intergenic non-protein coding RNA 1836
CCUGGACCCGGCGAGAAAUCGAAGGUCCCCCAAGGACCCACGUCCAGGAGCCAACAGCCUCUCUGUGCAAACCAGACAACCCUGCAGGAACUGUGCUUGAAGAAACCGUGGAAACUGCCCCCAACCCUCCCGUCUCUAUUUCUUUCUCUGUUUUAUUAUCUCAUUCUUGGCUGUGAGGUAAACAGGAGAAAAUGAGAAGGUGGUUCUGGAGGACCCGACCGAAUUUGCUUUCGUGACAGGGUCAAGCGCCCUUUCCUCGCCGGCCGCAGCCCUCACCAAAGGGGAUUUGGGGGCCUCCGGACAGGGGUCCUGAAGGUUUUGAAUUGUUCAAUCUCUGGGGGUACAGGAACCCCUGCAGGAGGUUUCAAAGGCAAGAGUUUCGCAGAGAGAAAAAAACCAUGAACUUUGCAGGUUGGUGGCGGAAUCUGGUGAUUUAAGAAAACGUGUUUAAGCCUCGGCCGGGCCGCGCCUGGGCUGUCUGCGGUGCUCUUCCGGAAUUCUCUACAAUAUCUGGAAGUGACCAAGAAAAUUCCAGAACCCGGAGGCUGCGCCGUGGAGAUAAACAUGGGCACCUGGGAAGGAACUGCUGGACCAGCAGAAUGAGGGGCCAACGCCAGGGGCAGCACUGCCCGGCCACAGAGGACUGUGGCCCCACAGAUGACACCCUCAGCUACCAGCUCCUGCAUCUGGAAGAUGACCAGGAGGAGGAAGGACGGUCUGCAAGUGUUCAAAGUGAUGUUUCCAGGCCGGGCGCGCUUGUAAUACCAGCAUUUGGGAGGCUGAGGCAGGCGGAUCACCUGAGGUCGGGAGUUCGAGACCAGCCUGACCAACGUGGAGAAACCCCGUCUCUACUAAAAAUACAAAAUUAGCCAGGCGUGUAGCUGGGACUACACGCGUGUGCCACCACGCCAGGCUAAUUUUUGUAUUUUUAGUAGAGACGGGGUUUUGCCAUGUUGGCCAGGAUGGUCAGGAACUCCCCAACUCUUAUUUUUAAAUGUUGGGCCACACAAGUCUGGGAAAUGUUAGUUUUCAAACACAUCAGGGAAUAAAUGGAUACAAAAGUCUUGAGGACCACUUAAGAAAUGAACAAUAGCAGAUGUGUAACAGUUAUACUACGCUGCUACCUUGUAAAACAUUUUAGAAACAUCUGUUUCCAGCCGGGCCUGGUGGCUCACGCCUGUGAUACCAGCACUUUGGGAGGCUGAGGUGGGCAGAUCAUGAGGUCAGGAGUUCGAGACCAGCCUGGCCAACCUAGUGAACCCUCAUCUCUACUAAAACUACAAAAAAUUAGCCAGG